UUUUUGGUGGUUUUGGUUUACCAGGUUUAGCUUUUUACUUAAAAGUGAGAUCUUUUUACAUUUUAGAUUUUUCUAAAUAACCUAGUCAUUUCUUUCAUAUUUUUCUUGAUUUUUGAUUUAUUUUUCUUUCCAAACCAAUAGGGUUGCAUGUUCUCCCAAAUAACUUGUUGCAGAAAUUGUUUUCAACCUCAGUUUUGCCCUGCCUUGAUCACAAUUGUAGCCCUGGCACCACCCAAGUUUGUGCUAGGGUUUUAUUGUUUUUCGUCAGGGGUGAGGGGGGCAUGCCCUGUCUUGAACCCACCCCACAGACCUUCCUAGUUACCUCUAAUUUGGGGAAUAUAUGGCAAUGGUGAGUAGUCCUAAUAGAGUCAUUAGUUAUUAAAUGCAUUGACCACCGGUAUCAUGCUCUUUAUCAUAGCUUGAUAGAUAGCUAAAUAAAGUUAUCUUGUGCACAAAUGUACAAGCCCAAAAUACAACUAAUUUAUUCUAAUAUGGGUUUCAACUUAACAAUUAUCUUUGAUGAAGUGCAUACGAUGAACUAGCCUCUCAUUAUCAUCUCCUCUGCGGAACGAUACUGUCAUAAGCCUCUUGGCAGCUAGGAGUAUAAAAGGAAAUAAGCACAUGGGUUGUAAUCCAUGAUCACUGAUAAUUUUUAAUUUUGUUCCCAUUUUCAUGCAGGGUUUUACAAAUGCAGUUAAAAGGCCAGUUCAGAUUCGUGAAUUUUUGCUAUAACUGGGAUCAGAAUUAUUGAAGACAAGAUGCGGCAGGAACACUACGUAAACUGAGUUCUACAUUUGGCUUAUAUUAUAUUGAA